UUUUUUUUUUUUUUUUUUUAGGAAAUGGCCAUAGCUUUCAUUAGUUUUUCAAAUGGUCUGAGAGUUAGAAAAAUUUAAGAAUGUCUUAGAAGUAUUUAUUAGUCAAUCUUCAAAACAUCUUAUGCUUAGGUGGUAUUACUGUCUCCAUCACUUGAUGUGGAGGGUUAAGACAAACUUAGCAGCUUGCAUGGGUGGGGACUUGUAACACUUAGAUACAAUUUCCCUCUGUCCUACAACCCCAGGACUGCCUUUCUAGGGUAUUUCUGUGAUUAACAUUUAAAGAUAGCCAUGCUAACAACCAGCAUUUUUCUGUUGCUGACUCAGCCCAUCAAGAGAGUGCUGCUGGUAAAUCCCACUGGGAAGUCCUGCCUUGUGAUAACCGGGUAUGAAGACCAAACCUAAGCCAUGUGGCUAAAUUGAGGCUCACGAGAAAAUUCUAUAAUCUGAAACUUACUCUGAACUGUUAUUUUCCCUGUCCGAUUCUUACAAUAGUCUCAUAGCUCGUCUUUCUGCCACUGGAGUCUUUGUAAACGCUGUAGAUAAAAAUAUGAAAAGGCUUUCUAAAAACAAAUUCAGGCAUUCUCAUGGUGAAAGGACUUUGCUGGCUUAUACUGCCUACAGGACAGAGCCCACAGCCUCCAUCUCUUGCAUGACCUGAGCUUCGCCACCUCUGUGGUCCUUUCUCACCACUCCUGUUACGAUCACAGCAGCCCCACCAGAGGGAUCCUGGACCCCAAGUUCACAGACCCUCAGAACUGCCUCUCAUAUUCUCCUCCUUCCACCCAAAAUGUUCUUCAUGAUUACUCAUCUGGAAAACUUUAAUUCCUUCUUCAAGAUUCCAUUCAGGUGUUUUCCUCCACAACUUCCCCAAACUAGAAGUUCAAGUUAACUCUUGGCUGACCUCACAAGGUCCCACGGCUGAUGCACUUAUCACACCAUAUGUAAUUGCUUGAAGUGUAUAGUUUCAAAUAGACUAUGGGCCACUAAGGGCAGGACUGUUCAAUCAACUCUGUCUCAAAUCAUUUAUAUGUGUCACAGUGCUUAUCACAAAGUAGGAGCCAAACAAAUAUUGGAGAAAGGAAAACACAAGCAAGGAAAGAAGGGGCAGGGGGACCUUAUCUGGUUCUCAAGACAGAUCGCCUUAGCCUUGUUAUGAGUGUUCUCAAGAAAAUUAUUCUAAGACAGCUGCAGUUUUAUUGUGAUGUGGGGACAGUAAGUACCAAGGAAGUAUAACAUCGAGUACUCAACAGAAAGUAUUCAUGUGAGCCCUAGAAAAUGUUACCGCCUUAGAAAUUUGAAACCUGAGCUUUGCAACUGUUUUUAUAAGAAACCUGUACUGUAGGCAUCCGGUAUAUUUAUUACCUAAGAAACAUCAACCUAUCAGUCUCACUGAAUUCAUGUAAUAUCCUCUUAGUCCUGAGGUGAAUGUAUGUGUUGAUCAUUUUGUGAUUGAGAAAACAAGCCAUCCUGGUAGACUGGCAACACUAGUCUCUUUCUUUCCCUCUAUAGAUCUAUGACGUGAAUUCAAUAAACUUUUUUACUGACCCACUUUAUUAGAGCAAAGAAAGAUUUCUUUUUUUUUAAUCCUCCUUUCAAAACUCUUGGGUGAAAGGAAAAAAAGAAGCAGUGAAUACCAUGGGCCUAGCACAUGAUCUUGCUCUAUUGGAUCCUCCCUUAUUUUUACUUUUAGGCAAUAAAUCAGAUAUUAAUCCAGAAUAAAUUAAGUCCAAAUAUGGGUUUACGAUACAGAGUGGGGGUAUUAUAAAUGAAACUCCACGAGAGCAGAUGGAUUUAGCUAUUGUUAAGUUUCAUCGAUGGUUUCCAAGAACAUUUUGUAUGUUCCCAAUCAUUUUUUGUAUGCAAUUGUUCAAUAGUUAACAUUCAGAAAAUGGUUCAGUUAAUCACCCCAUUGCCUCUGGGUUUUGGGGUAACUUCUAGAGCACCGACACCCAUAAAUGAAUUUCUUACUAGUGGAUAAGAUAAAAUAAUUAGGCUUUAAAAUUGUUGCUCUUUCUUUGUUCAAAAUCACAACGGCAACCAUUGCCAAGCUGCUAUUGUGUUCCAAGCCUUCUUUCAUAGUUCCGUAGAGCAGGUCUUAUUGGAUUCAUUUUACAGAGGAAACUGAGUUCAAAAAGAUAAAAUGGGAGUUCCUGUCGUGGCGCAGCAGAAACAAAUCCGACUAGGAACCAUGAGGUUGCGGGUUCAAUCCCUGGCCUCACUCAGUGGGUUAAGGAUCCAGUGUUGCCAUGAGUUGCGGUGUAGUUUGCAGACAAGGUUUGGAUCUGGUGUUGCUGUGGCUUUGGCAUAGGCCAGAGGCCACAGUUCCUAUUAGACCCCUAGCCUGGGAACUUCCACAUGGGGCGUGGGUGUGGCUCUAAAAAGACCCCCCCCCCAAAAAAAAGAUAAAAUGAUAUGUCCAGGACUGUACUGCUGGCAGAGGUAAGACCUGAAUGUUGAGCUUUUUAGCUUCAAAUAACUCUGUGUUCAACUUCCACUGUUCUGUAUGAGCUACAUGAUUACAAACACAAUGUCAAAAGCAUUUCUAGAUCACAAGCCUAGACGCUCUACUCUGGGAACAUCAUGUUUAAAAAGUAGUUAACACAUGGCCCCCAAAUUUAAGGUAGCAUAUACUUUAACAAAAUUAUAAAGAGAAUUCUAGAAGAAUUAAAAUUACUGAAAUAACUGAUACUAUUAAAAAUUGUAAUAGCUUUGUCAGAGAGCAUGAAAAGAGAUUUCAAUAAUUUGCAUGGAAUGAUUUGCAAUAGUUUUUUUUUUUACAUAGUCUAAAUUUGGGACACAAUUACAACAAAGUAUUUAAAAUUUAUUGCAUACUAACUAUGUGAAUGAUACUACUGAACAAGAGGAACACUCUCUGCUCAUAGUUUAAUAAUAAUUAAACUUCUGUCACAGUUUAAUAAGGGAGUUAACACACAAAUUAUUUAUUCCAUAAUUAACACACAUUGAGUAAUACAUGCAUGUAUUUGGGAGACACAGAGACUGAUAAAAUAUUGACCUCAUCCCCAAAGAGAUUGUAGUUAAUGCUUGUUGCCUAUUGAAAUGGAAUAUUUUUUCACUAUGCCAGGCUGCCUGCUCCAUGCAUAAAAAAUAAAAUAAAAUUCCUACUAGCUUUCAAAUGAGAUCACCACCAGAGUUCCCGUUGUGGCUCAGUGGUUAGCGAAUCCGACUAGGAACCAUGAGGCUGAGGGUUCGAUCCCUGGCCUUGCUCAGUAGAUUAAGGAUCCGGCAUUGCUGUGGCUGUGGUGUAGGCCGGCAGCUACAGCUCCAAUUCGACCCCUAGCCUGGGAACCUCCAUAUGCUGCGGGAGUGGCCCUAGAAAUAUCAAAAAGACAAAAAAAAUGAGAUCACCACCAAUAGAGAUAUUCAGUGAACAUGUGGAAAUAAUCUAUUAGGAGUCAGGUUUCCAACCAUGUACAGAAAACACAAAAGCAGAAGGUCUAGGAAGAAUUUCCAGUCUGGUGGUGGACAUAAGCAAGACCAUGAUAACAUGAGGCAACAUAUGCUCUGUCGGAACAAUGAACACUAGCCUACUUGUUUUUAUAGUUACUGACUCAUUUUCUAAGAAUUUCCUGUGCUAAACAUUUACAUACUAGUCUCAUUUAAUCUACACAUAAUCCCGUUAGAUAAGCCCUGUUAUUCACACAAACUGAUAGACAAAAUUGAGUCUAGAGAAGCUGAGUAAUUUGCCCAAGGCCAUUAGAUUCCACCCAGGUAGUCAGGCUCCAGAAGGGAUGCUCUUGACCUUAAUCUGCUAAUGAGGUGCUCAGAAGGGAGGGUUUAGCUCUAUCAAUGAGGAAGGUCUUCCAACAGGAAAUGUCCUGGAGCUAAAUCUGAAAGGUGAACAGGAUACCAAGGCAGAUGAGGGAGCUGAGGAGGAAGGACACACCAGGUAGAAGAAACAAUAAAUACACAGUCACAGAAACGAAAACAAGAGAAAAUGUCACUUGCUGGGCAAACAGAAGGUGCUAUAUUAGUUUAGAGUGCAGAAUACAUACAGAGGAGGAAAUGAGAAAUAACAUUAAGGACCCUAAAUUUGAGAUAUCUUAGCACGGGUCACACAGGUAACUAAAUAUGAUCUCAUUUAGUCUUUUAAAACUACCAAGUGAAAUAGGUACUACUAUUAUUCUGAUUUUACACAUAAGAAGACCAAGGUGAAAGACAGGAAGUAACUCACACAAAUAAAUAAUAGAUCUAGGACUUACGACCAGGUCUGAAGACUCCAGAGCCUGAGAUCGUAACUUCCAUGGAGAGGCAGGAGCCAGGCCAGGAAAGCCAGGACUUUAGUGUGGCUCUUGACCUUAAUCCGCUAAUGAGGUGCUGAGAAGGGAGGGUCUAGCUCUAUCAAUGGGGACAUCAGAAGGUCUUCCAACAGGAAAUGUCCCAGGACAUUGCCUGGGACUUACCAAGGACUUUAGCGUGGGACUUUAAGGCCUCUACAAGGAGAUAAAACUCAAAACGCCUCUUACCUCUGGCUGAGAUACGAAUCACCAGACCCUUAAAAUCCCACCAGUCUCACUGUAAUUGUUACAACGUCCUAAGGACAUCCCCACCCCAACAGCUUGGCCUAUUCCUUCCUGCCCCCUAGAGGAAAGGUGUGUGGCCCACAUCUCACCCCACCCCUAGAGAGGCAUUAUACCCCCCAACCAAGAGCAAGUGUAUCAGAAGACCCCAUCCUUCCCCAGCCAACAGGCAGGUCCACAGGUUUAUGUAAGACCUCUCCUUGCACUCCUUUGUCUCUGGGCUAUAAAAACAGACACAACCACGCUCCCAGGGUUGCCUCUCCCUAUUAUCAGGAAGUUGGCCCAUUGUGUAAACAAGUGUCUCUUGCCUCAAUAAACUUGUCUUUUCUUCACCUUCCUCUGAAUCUGGAAAGUUACUUUUCCACCUAUGUGCAGAGACCAAACAUUUAGAUUUUUUUUUUUUCUACACUCAAUGUGAAGGUUGUUAAUCAAAAAAGUAAUAUUACCAGAUUUCUAUUUUAGUGUUACAGCAUGGAGGAGAGAGAUGAGAUUUGAGGUAGGUUAGUCAAAAAGGUAACCUUAGUUCAGGUAAGAGAAAGUGAAAGUAUAAACUGGGUCAAUGUCUAUGUAGCUCAAUAGGAGGGAAGGAGAAUUCAGAAUAUUAAGGAGAUUCAUUCAGCAAACCUAGGUACCUGAAUUGACUUUGUGGGUAAGAGAAAUACAAGAUUUGAGAUUAACUGCCAAAUUUUUAGCCUGGGCAACAGGAGAAAUGAAAACAUUUUUCUUACCGCUGACUGUUUAUAGGGCAAACAAAAGCAUCACAGGAACAGCAGGAAAGAUAUAGGAAACCUAAUCAGUUAUUAGGUUCUGUUUCAAAAAUCUUAAGGGACCACUGCUAGAAUGGAACACGGCAAUGUUUUCUGCAAUUGUGUGAGUACAGCGAGAUUCCCUGAGGCAGUAUAAUCAUGAAGAAUCUAAUAGGACAAGCCAACAUCUUAUGGAAAAAAAUCUCUUCGUUGCUAGCCUAACUGGUAUCCCAAUCUCUUCCUAAGUAUAGGCACAUUUUGAAUACAAAACAAUUUAAUGCUGGUGAACUUGGUUUUAAUCAAAUUCAGCUCUAAUUACUCAGAUUUAUAAAACACAAUCAGGCAAUGACUAUCUACUUAUUUAAAAACAAAUUUAGUUAGGAAAAAAAAAAAAAUUGCCUCAGUAUAGUCUUUCCAGUAUAAUUACAUGGAUUUGAAAGACAAUAUAUCUCUAAUGCUUAUACAUAUGUAAUGUGCCUGAUGAUUUUUAUGUAUUAUCUCAAUUAAUUAUCACAACAAUUCCCUGAGUUGUGUUGUUAUUCUCUCCAUUUUAAUGAUAAAGAAGCCAAGGCUUAGAAAAUGUAUUUAUCCAAAAUCAUUUCUGAAGAGUGACUAUUCAAACCACUCUGCUCAAAAAUGUAAGUCACUAGCACAUAUUUUUCACAGUUUUCCUUUUUUAAAGUAGUUCU
rnacentral:lncRNA from 1 species